GACACUUUUUGGACUCACUGUUCAUUUCCAGUGCAGGAUUCCUCGAAAUUCAAAAGAUUGUUUUGUUUUAAGAUAAUAAAUAAAAGGAAACCGGUAGAGUUGAUGAUACAAGUAUCGGUCCUGGCCUGUAUUUACGCGGUGUGAGCUCCCAGCCCGCUGAAGGAGCGUCUGUUGAGCUUGUGAAGCAGGGCAGCUCAUCCACCUGUGCCGCGGAUGCUGCAGCCGGAGCGGACCUGGCGUUACAUGGCGUAGUUUCUGCAUCGCUUACUUCUUGUCUCUCCUGAGGAUUUGUAUUAUUAUCAUUUCUUUUUUUGUUACCUUUUGUCUUUCCUCCUCUGGCGUAUGAAAGAGGCAUCUAAAGUUGUGAUGAUGCCUCCGCUCGGCGUUUGGGAUUUGUAACAGCCUCAUGUGMAAGGGUGAUAUCCUGUCAGCCUGUGAUUUAACGACACGGUCCUUUGGACGCGGAUAAAAACAUGGACUAAACCUUCGCUUCAACACAGUCAAUAUGG